rnacentral:rRNA from 1 species
AUUGAACGCUGGCGGCAGGCCUAACACAUGCAAGUCGAGCGAAGCGGCGGGUGAGUGAGUAACGCGUGGGUAACCUGCCCUUAAGUCUGGGAUACCAUCUGGAAACAGAUGCUAAUACCGGAUACUAAAGGAUGGACCUCCGGUGCAUUAGCUAGCUGGUAAGGUAACGGCUUACCAAGGCGAUGAUGCAUAGCCGGGUUGAGAGACUGAUCAGCCACAUUGGGACUGAGACACGGCCCAGACUCCUACGGGAGGCAGCAGUAGGGAAGCUUCCACAAUGGACGAAAGUCUGAUGGAGCAACGCCGCGUGAGUGAUGAAGGUUUUCGGAUCGUAAAGCGCUGUUGUUGGUGAAGCGGUAAUCAACCAGAAAGCCACGGCUAACUACGUGCCAGCAGCCGCGGUAAUAC